rnacentral:rRNA from 1 species
CAAAGGAGCAAUCCGCUGAAAGAUGGGCUCGCGUCCGAUUAGGUAGUUGGUGAGGUAACGGCCCACCAAGCCGACGAUCGGUAGCCGGACUGAGAGGUUGGACGGCCACAUUGGGACUGAGACACGGCCCAGACUCCUACGGGAGGCAGCAGUAAGGGAUAUUGGUCAAUGGGGGAAACCCUGAACCAGCAACGCCGCGUGAGGGAAGACGGUUUUCGGAUUGUAAACCUCUGUCCUCUGUGAAGAUGAUGACGGUAGCAGAGGAGGAAGCUCCGGCUAACUACGUGCCAGCAGCCGCGGUAAUACGUAGGGAGCGAGCGUUGUCCGGAUUUACUGGGUGUAAAGGGUGCGUAGGCGGCUGUGCAAGUCAGUAGUGAAAUCCAUGGGCUUAACCCAUGAACUGCUAUUGAAACUGCACAGCUUGAGUGAAGUAGAGGUAGGCGGAAUUCCCGGUGUAGCGGUGAAAUGCGUAGAGAUCGGGAGGAACACCAGUGGCGAAGGCGGCCUACUGGGCUUUAACUGACGCUGAGGCACGAAAGCGUGGGUAGCAAACAGGAUUAGAUACCUUGGUAGUCCACGCUGUAAACGAUGAUUACUAGGUGUGGGGGGACUGAACCCUUCC